rnacentral:piRNA from 1 species
UCCAACGUGCUUGUUUCAAACAGGGUGUCU